ACAGACAUCUGGCAUAUUCCUAUAAUCAGUAUCAUGGCCUUUGUAUACAACAAAAUUGAUUGGAACUCCUAGACUAGAAAUAUAAUUCAAGAUUUAAAUAAGGCACUGGUCAUAGUUUUAAAAAGUGUGGCUAGCAUUCUGAAGGAAGACAGAGAGAUGGAAAGACAUCAAAGAAUGGACAGGUCUGCCAAGAAAUGGUUUAUCCAGGGCUAAGUACAGAGAGGAAUAUAGAAGGGCUGUUGACAGAUCUUGUGUGGUGCCCCCAUGGUUCAACAGACUAAUUGAUUGAAAAUAAUACCAGGGUUAUGCUCCUUUGACCAUUGAGUUCCAGGAUGAAGAAUGAAAGACAGAGAGCAAUGUGAAGACAUGAAAGAAUGGGCAGGUCUGCCAUGAAAUGGUUUAUCCAGGGCUAAGUACAGAGAGGAAUAUAGAAGGGCUGUUGACAGAUCUUGUGUGGUGCCCCCAUGG